AUUGAACGCUGGCGGCAUGCCUUACACAUGCAAGUCGAACGGCAGCACGGGAGCAAUCCUGGUGGCGAGUGGCGAACGGGUGAGUAAUACAUCGGAACGUGCCCAGUCGUGGGGGAUAACGUAGCGAAAGUUACGCUAAUACCGCAUACGAUCUAUGGAUGAAAGCGGGGGAUCGCAAGACCUCGCGCGAUUGGAGCGGCCGAUGGCAGAUUAGGUUGUUGGUGGGGUAAUGGCUUACCAAGCCUCCGAUCUGUAGCUGGUCUGAGAGGACGAUAAGCCAAACUGGGACUGAGACACGGCCCAGACUCCUACGGGAGGCAGCAGUGGGGAAUUUUGGACAAUGGGCGAAAGCCUGAUCCAGCAAUGCCGCGUGCAGGACGAAGGCCUUCGGGUUGUAAACUGCUUUUGUACGGAGCGAAACGGCUCUCACUAAUACUGGGGGCUAAUGACGGUACCGUAAGAAUAAGCACCGGCUAACUACGUGCCAGCCGCCGCCGUAA
rnacentral:rRNA from 1 species